AACGUAGGUCCCGAGCGUUAUCCGGAUUUACUGGGCGUAAAGCGCGUGCAGGCGGCUCCGCAAGUCGGGCAUGAAAUCUCUCGGCUCAACCGGGAGAGGUUGUCCGAUACUGCGGGGCUUGAGGACGGAAGAGGCGGGUGGAAUUCCGCAUGUAGUGGUGAAAUGCGUAGAGAUGCGGAGGAACACCAGUGGCGAAAGCGGCCCGCUGGCCCGCUCCUGACGCUCAGACGCGAAAGCUCGGGGAGCGAACGGG
rnacentral:rRNA from 1 species